GCGCCCGUAGCUCAGCUGGAUAGAGCACCUGGCUACGAACCAGGCGGUCGGAGGUUCGAAUCCUUCCGGGCGCGCCA
rnacentral:tRNA from 2 species